GAUGAACGCUGGCGGCGUGCCUAAUACAUGCAAGUCGAGCGAACAGACGAGGAGCUUGCUCCUCUGACGUUAGCGGCGGACGGGUGAGUAACACGUGGAUAACCUACCUAUAAGACUGGGAUAACUUCGGGAAACCGGAGCUAAUACCGGAUAAUAUAUUGAACCGCAUGGUUCAAUAGUGAAAGACGGUUUUGCUGUCACUUAUAGAUGGAUCCGCGCCGCAUUAGCUAGUUGGUAAGGUAACGGCUUACCAAGGCAACGAUGCGUAGCCGACCUGAGAGGGUGAUCGGCCACACUGGAACUGAGACACGGCCCAGACUCCUACGGGAGGCAGCAGUAGGGAAUCUUACGCAAUGGGCGAAAGCCUGACGGAGCAACGCCGCGUGAAUGAUGAAGGUCUUCGGAUCGUAAAACUCUGUUAUCAGGGAAGAACAAGUGUGUAAGUGACUGUGCACGUCUUGACGGUACCUAAUCAGAAAGCCACGGCUAACUACGUG
rnacentral:rRNA from 1 species